rnacentral:rRNA from 1 species
AGAAUCAACGCUGGCGGCGUGCCUAACACAUGCAAGUCGCACGAGAAAGGGGUUUCGGCCCUGAGUAAAGUGGCGUACGGGUGAGUAACACGUGACUAACCUACCCUCGAGUGGGGAAUAACCUAGAGAAAUCUGGGCUAAUACCGCAUAACACUCAUGAGUCAAAGCAGCAAUGCGCUUGAGGAGGGGGUCGCGGCAGAUUAGCUAGUUGGUGAGGUAAUGGCUCACCAAGGCGAUGAUCUGUAUCCGGCCUGAGAGGGCGCACGGACACACUGGAACUGAAACACGGUCCAGACUCCUACGGGAGGCAGCAGUGGGGAAUUUUGCGCAAUGGGGGAAACCCUGACGCAGCAACGCCGCGUGGAGGAUGAAAUCCCUUGGGAUGUAAACUCCUUUCGAUAGGGAAGAUAAUGACGGUACCUAUAGAAGAAGCCCGGCUAACUUCGUGCCAGCAGCCGC